GUAGAUGCAGGGUUUUUUUGUUUGUUUGUUUGUUUAGUUGGGGACCAUCCAUAAUUUGAAAACAUGAAGGUUUUAAACAAAGCACAUCUAUUGUCUCAGAGUUUCUGAGGAUCUUGAAUCCAGGCAUGGCUUAGCUCUGUCCUCUGCUUCAGGGUAUCUCACUAGACAGCACUCAAUUUUUCAUCUGGGGCUGUAGUCUCAUCAGAAGGCUCUACUAGGGAAGGAUCUGCUUCUAAGUUAACUCGUGUGUCUCUUGGCAGAAUUCAGUUCCUCAAAGGCCUCUAGAGAGAGGGCUGCAGUUCUUUGUUGCCACUGGUCAGAGGAUACUUUCAUUUUCUUGCCAUGUGAGUGUCACCAGCCAGUGUCAUCAGGGCAAGCACUCAAGAAGAGCCAGAGAGUACAAGCAAGAUGGAAAUCACAAUCAUGUA
rnacentral:lncRNA from 10 species